rnacentral:rRNA from 1 species
CCUACGGGUGGCAGCAGUGAGGAAUAUUGGUCAAUGGCCGCAAGGCUGAACCAGCCAAGCCGCGUGAAGGAUGACGGUCCUAUGGAUUGUAAACUUCUUUUGUCAGGGAGCAAAGUGAGCCUCGUGUGGCGCAUCGCGGGUACCUGAAGAAAAAGCAUCGGCUAACUCCGUGCCAGCAGCCGCGGUAAUACGGAGGAUGCGAGCGUUAUCCGGAUUUAUUGGGUUUAAAGGGUGCGCAGGCGGAAUGUCAAGUCAGCGGUAAAAGUUCGGGGCUCAACCCCGCCGUGCCGUUGAAACUGGCUGUCUUGAGUGGGCGAGAGGUAUGCGGAAUGCGUGGUGUAGCGGUGAAAUGCAUAGAUAUCACGCAGAACUCCGAUUGCGAAGGCAGCAUACCGGCGCUCAACUGACGCUCAGGCACGAAAGCGUGGGUAUCGAACAGGAUUAGAUACCCGUGUAGUC